AUUGAGAUGGCUGAGUAUAAGCAAUAGCCUGUAAAGCUAUCAACGGAUAAUUCCUCUCAAUA
rnacentral:tRNA from 1 species